AAAAUUGAUAGGGGCAUAUUGUUAGAGUUUUUCAUCACCAUAUCUAUAUAUACAUUUUUGCAACCAUUUUAACAAAUAAAUCUUAGAGUUGGACUUAUUUACAACCCAAUGCCAUUAGCAUUAAAUCUUUUUUUCAAAAUAAUUAG
rnacentral:sRNA from 1 species